UGCCGAUCGGUUCGGUUGUGCGGCCCUCCCCCCACCCCUGGGGGGGCGAAAAAAAACCGCUCCCCAAAAAAUCCCCGUCCCUCUUAAGCCCAGAGGAAUCGCCAAGUUGUUGCCUUGCAGAUUGUCAAUUCCUUGAAGGCAAGGGCCAUGUCUUCUACAUUUAUUAUACUCUUCAAAGCCUUUAGCAGUGGAAGCUCAAUAAAUGCUACUAAUUGACUGAUCAGAGCCACUAACAGUAUGCCAGGCUGGGCUGUCUGCCACAGCUCCCACCAUGCUGCAGUGAGCUCAGCCUGCUCCUCGUCAAGCAGAGGACGAUGGCCCGAGCCUCGGGAACAGCGGGGUGACUUGGAAGAUCGACCCUUCGGGAUUUGCGGAGCCACUGCUCGCUGCUCGGCGAGCCCAGGCACCAGCUUUUUCCCCGGACUACCUACCAGGGUGUCUGGGUGAAGAUGGUGUAAUCCAACUUGGGGCCGGGGCAAGAGGCACCUCUGGUCCUACUCUGGAGCCCCAUGGGGUGGCAGAAACCCUGGCCGGUUCCAGGCCCAGCCCGACCCGGGAAGCCGCUGCUGGCUGGCAGGGGAUAACAGUGGGGUCGCUAUCUUGGCUUCACUUCCAGUUCUUUUCAGGCUCUAAGGAGUUGGUUGGGCUAAUCAUGGAGAACCCUGACUCCCUCGACUGGGACUUUUCCGUGAACCAGAGGAGUUAACGCACUCCUCCCUUGUGCUCCCCAUUUCCUACCUACCCCACAUUUAAGCCAGCCAGUGGCAGGAGGGCCAUUUAGAUGUCCUGUCCUUAGGUGUUGGGUAACGACUACUGGUGAAGAGAAGUAGUAAUCGUAGCAGCAUUUAUUGAGUUCCCACUUUGUGCAAUGCAUCAAACUCAGUGCUUGACUAAUAAUAAUCAUUAUGGGAUUUAAGCGCUUAUUAUGUGUCG